GGAGUGGGCGUGAGUGUAGGCGGCCGGGCCAGGGGGGCGGGCCAUGGGUGGGGUCUAUAUUUUUUUAAACCCGUGGUGUUGGCCGCCUCGCUCCAUGUAGUAUCUGUUCUUUUUUGGUACGCACUCGUGUUAUGGCUUUAAAGUCGAAUAAAACUCCAAAGAACAUAACCAAACAAAGGAAUCAGUCUGUGAGUGUGUAUGCACGUGAUUUCAAGGAUGGUCUUUUUCCUUAUCUUUUGUGUUUGUGGGGGUUUUCUGUUUGCCUUCUAUGAGGAAUCUUUGAAACAGUUUCUGAGGCACUGAAUUGUGUCCAUGUGUGUGUUUUUGUCCCCAGACAGCCAUGUUUCUAUUUUUUUUAAUUGUUAUUUCUUGUUUUGGUUUUAUGUAAAUCCAUGUUUAGAUCCCUAUUGCCUAUCUGGGUGAUAGUGUCGGUGGACACCCGUGAGCAUACUGUAAUGGACUGAUGUUCUCCUCACAACCACAUUCUGUGUCAUUCUCUGGUCAGAGGCACCCAGGUUCUGCUCUGUUCUCAUCUGUUCUCCCGUGUCCACAGCGCAGUGUUCUCACGGGAAAGAAGUUGGCUGUCCAUGGGUAGAUCGCAUCAGUAUCGUCUACCAGGGGUAGACAAUGCCUGUGUCCCUGAUUAGACUGUGUGGCGUUCCGUCAAGGUGCAUUCCUUCUAUUUCCAGUUUCUGAUUGCUCAUGCUAAUGCAAAAAGGAGGGUUGUUGUAACAUUGACGUGUGUGACUGACGUAACGGGGAUUUUUCCUUAGGAUAUUUUGUUGGUGUUUUUCUGUUUGGUUCUUAUGACCGGUUGUCCAUCAGGGGUUCCUAUUUGAUAGGUAGCUUGGCUACAGUUUCCAUAACAAUACUGCGGCGCCAAAGACAAUCAUCUUGAUCUCUAAUGCUGGGGGGCUCAAUCUAUCACCCAGCGGGGUAGCUCUCCAGCUAUUCAUAUACAAAGAUGCUUGAAAGGGUUUUGAUAAACAAGCAUAUUUGUUGUCAUAGACAUUUAGGAUAUAGGUGACAUUCGUAGUACGUUCUGAACUUUCCAAAUAAAAAUCAUAUUGCUUUUUUUCAGCCCAAGAGCUAUUGUCAGACUUGAUUUCCUUCCUCAGCCUCUUAUUUCGCGAAGCUUGUUUGAUUUCAUUCGUCAUUACUGUCUGUGUGAGCGCAUAUGUUUGUGUGUGUCUAAGGGUGUGUGUGUGUGUGGGAGUUUUUUUGUGCAAUUUGUGAGUGUGUGCGUGUGUGUAUGAGAGUAGUUUGUUGUGUGUGUGUGUGUGUGUGUGUGUGUGUGUGUGUGUGUGUGUGUGUGUGUGUGUGUGUGUGUGUGUAUGAGAGUAAGUUUGUGUGUUUGUGUGUCUCUGUGUGAGUGCGCAUGUGUUAUUGUGUGUAUGAUUGUGUGUGAGCGCAAUUAUUUUGGCCAGUUCGGCAAUGCUUUAGGUAUAUUGACGUUUUAACCCCAUUCCACAUCGGUUGAUCCGUUCCGUUUAUUCCCAGUAGCUUUGCGUCUGCUCUUUCAGUGCCGUGCAAUAUCAUAUGUUUUGACUGCUAAGCAAAUGAAAAAAAGGAAAAAAAAAAUUGAGAAGCGAAGUGAUGAUGUCAUCAAGCUUUUUUCAGUGUUCAAAUGUUUCAACAUUUCUGUAGUCACCAAAGAAGUAGAAAAUAAAUUGUUGGUAUUUCCAUCUCUUAAAUCUGGUGUCUUGUCAUGCAAUUUAUUGUUAUAGGAGUUUUUCCACCCUUCUAUUGAAAGGUUCAUACUUCUCAGAUAUCAUUUAAAUAAUGAUUUAAAUUGCAGUAAGGUAUAGUAAGAUAUACCAACCGAAAAUAGGACGAUCACUUCAAUCUAUGUUUUCUUGCCGAAAGAUACUUUUGCUGCAAAUAAAGGCUAAUAGUCAAAUGUAAGCAUUAUUGUCAAACUGAACAUUUUAUGCAGACGGUUGAUGUGUUUACCGUAGGAAUGUCAAAUUAUAAAAUAUAGCGAGAGAGCCAACGUACUUAAGAUUGAACCUUACUUAACCCUAACCCUAACCCUUACUUAUUUUUUUAUAUAGGCCUAUAGAUAUCUAGAUAUAUAUAGGAUAUAUAUAUAAACACACACAUGAACAUUUCUGACCAAACACUUCGAAUAUGAAUCAAAAAAACGAUUUUCCUCAAGGGUUUCAGACUAUUUACCCCUACAUCACUUUCUGCGUUACCGGUCCAGACCACUAGAUGGAGCUAUAAUACUACCGAGACCAGACAAAAGAAUCGCUGGAUGACUAUCAUUUCAUCACAGACCCAGAUGGGAUUUCCCAUGGAUGGGCUUAGUUUUAGUGUAAACAAUGUUACAUCAUAGGUGGGUCAUGACCUAUGGCCGUUAAAGCUUUAAGGUUUACAAUAGCCAAUACCUUGCGUUGCUUUGCACUCAAUAUGAUUAAGUAAACCUCUACGACUAAGUUUUGUGCAGUUGAUGUCCAAAGUGAACAUAUUUCCAGAUAAUACACUUAUUGUUAGGGCCUGACAUGGAGCAAACGAAGCGACCAGGCUGAAGAUUUUGAAAUUGCUUUGACACAAUACCAACCACCACAUCAGCUGUGGAGCAGAUUUGCGCAUCGCAUUCUGGCGGCCGCAUCAGUCUCCUCUUUGUUACCAGUCAGAACAAAAUGUUCACGGGGAAAAAGCAUCUCACGUGCCGCCCACGAGAACGUGCAUGGGAUCGGCUGUCCAAUCAGAGCAGAGAGUCAACCCUCUUUCGCGCGCUCCACCUCUCUCUCCCUCUCUUGCACGCUCCCUCCCUCCCUCUCUCCCACUCUCGCGCGCUCCCUCUCUCUCGCGCGCACCCUGACCGUUGAGGCGCGCUCGCCACGGUCCAUCAUUAUUAUUACUAAUAACAUGGCACUCUGAGUCGUAUGCUAAACCAGAUCUCCCGCAGAAUCCAGACGGCGCUCACCCCAUGUGAGACGUUCAAAUAAGAAGUAGAAGAAGAAGAAAGUUUGAACGCUCCUUUUCUAACUUCGCGGUUGCCAUGGCAGCAGGUUCACGUGAGGCUGGGGAGGGAAGUGACGAGCUGUUGUUGGGACACGUGACCCGGGCUGCGCUGCCGCUGAUCUGUUGUGACAAGCAGCGAGGAGGAGGUGAGGAGAGGAUCCAGGUCGCAUCGAGCCGAGCAGGACGCUAGCUUAUGGUCUGGUCCCUCGGACGGCUCUGGUUCGUUAGAUCGUCUCACCCGACGGGUCACCGGGAGGACGGCGUCUCUGUCCCCGCGCCGCGAGACAUCUGCUCCCCCUGCACCGCGACGACACGUCGUAUUGUUUUGUUUGUUUUCAAAGUUGGACUGGAAGAAGACCGAUAAUUGUUUCAUUUGACCUGAACUGACCGUUUCGAGUGAGAUAUAACCCCCAGACGAUGUGACAGUUUGGCGACACUUUGGUCCCGUCCUGCCCGAAGAAUAAUUCACCAAAACGGUUCUUCCUAACUACGACCGCGUUGGUCGUGGUGGUCGAGACGGUCGUGGUGAACCGAGCCGAGACCCCCCUGCGCUACGGCUUGUCAGGGGUUGUUAGUCCGGUGUCGUGGUGGUACUCACAGGUACACACCACCCGUAUGGCCAGCGUGUCGUCAGCUCGUCCGCACAGCUGGUAGGGCUGGUCGUGGUCCGAUAGGCUCCGGUACAGUGGUACGGUUCGGUGCCACGGGACCCGAAAUGUGUGGCGACGGAGCGGGGGUCCUGGUGGAGGAUUCAGAGACUGAUCGUAAGGGUAGCCUGAUGGCUAGCUGAGAAGAAGCAGUCCGCUCAGUCGAUCUCCUCGUCCAAGGCCAGAUACAAAUAGAAAUACACGAUCAGUUCAGCAGCCGAUUAGACGACAGUGACUCGUACAGGAACGGGCUGACAAAGCGAUGCUUUGUUGUCGGACAGGAGACAACUGUCAGCGACGUACAGGCUCCACAGCUGACUGUGUUGGGUGGGCUCCUGCAUCAGGUGAAGCCACUGCGAGGACCAGGGCUCAGGGCAGGGGCCAUAAGCGCAUAGGCUGUGUGUGAACAGGACCUGUGGACAGAGGGACAACUUGAAGACCGAGAGGACUCUUGGGAGGUCUUCACGAUGACACUGGACAACAUGAAAACAGAGAGAGGUACGUACAUGUUUGAAAUUGAAAUUGUGCAUAAGCAACCCCGACCAUCGCUACUCGAGAGACAUCUCAAGCUGUGCUGCUAUUCAACACGGCCUUGUUUUGGAAACUGCGAGUCAGACCUCAAACAUCAACACUGUAAACAGCUGACAGUCAUGUUUUAGCACAAACCAAAUAUGGCUUCUGUGUGCACCCUGCGAUUUGGUUUGUCGCUGCAUUGGAUCUCCAGAUGUAGACAUCGGCUCGGAAGUGGUAACGACAACUGUCGUAUGCUUUUGCUACUUAUCCGACAUGAUGUUUUGCCUUUCACUAGCAAAUUGACAGAGCAAAAUAAGAGGCAUUUAUUGGUUCAGACAAGGAUAAUAAAGAAUAAAUAAUAGCCAUUCAUGUCUCACUUGGAACAGUAACGUCCUCCCUGAUGCAAUUACUAUGCAAUUAAGUUGAUAAGCAUAAGGCGUUUUUUCUUGUGUAAGCACGUCAAUAAAGAAUUGGGUGAUUGAAUCCACAUGACUGUCAGUAAUCCAGAGUUUACGUGAUUAGACCACAAAAGCCCCAUGACACAGGAGGGGAGAAGCCAUUGUUUCUCAGCUGCAAUGAUUUGGGGAACAGGAUCAGUGCAUGGUUUUCAUAGGUAGUUCAACUGCAGUAAGAGCGCAGGCUGACAGGGAGGGGAAGACCCUGUAGCACGAUGUAUUGGUAACAGGACGCCUCGACACACAGUAAACAUACGCCCUACAUGGGCUGGGAAGGUUUUAACCCUAAGCCACAUUGCUGCACUUAAAAGUCGAUGCUACACAAGUUACAUCAUCUGUAAACGGUGCCAAUGAACGCUAAUGUGCGAUGUAAACAAAAGGGCGAAAAGAUAACAACAACACGAGACGAUUGUUCCUAUUGUGAUACUAUUUGUUUUAAUAUUUAAAGACAAUACAAUAUGAGUUUAGGAGACGCUAGAGAGAUAACCACAAACUGAGUGUAUUAUUAUUGUAAUUCUAGGAGCCAGACACUGAGGCAGUUCCAACCACUAUAUUUUAUAGUUAUAGAUUUUGAAUAUAGAUCACAGCAUAUAUGCCUAAACCAUUCUUUGAUUGCACAGCGAACAUCAAACCAACUGAACGAAGCAGGCCUGCCUGAGGCUGUUUAUUAGUUGAGCCAUUUCUCUACCGUCUCCUGAUUUCAUAUCAGACUGACCCACACACUGUCAAGUUGUAAUUAUAAACCCAUGGAGCAGAUGCCAGCGGCUGGUUCCCCUCAGGGCAGGCCGUGGUGCUAUUGUUAUUUGGAACAUACUGUGCUGUGAGAGGAGAUGGGAGAUUAACACUCGGGCUGUCACCUAGGCCCCUGACUCCUCCCUCAGAGGAGGAGGAAGUUUGGUGAAGAGAGAAUCUGUUGUUUGGUGGCUGGUGACAGACACCAGAGGACCGUGCAACAAGCACAUAUUUACUGUGUGUGUGUGUGUGUGUGUGUGUGUGUGUGUGUGUGUGUGUGUGUGUGUGUGUGUGUGUGUGUGUGUGUGUGUGUGUGUGUGUGUGUGUGUGUGUGGGGCAGGUCUAUUUGUGUUUGUAUGUGUAUCUAUAUCUUUGUGUGUGUAUUGAAAAAGCCGAGACAUUAUCAGCACCACAACUUCUGGGGCUUCUUGGGAUGUCAUACAAGGGGAAGGCUUUCUCUGAAACUUGCUGUCCACACAUUUAGUUCUGCUUACGCGCCUUUAGAACCAGAAACAACUGACUCUGUCUUUGUUGCUUGUUUUCCUCAAGCAGGGCUGCAGGAUUAGGGCACCUAGUGCAUUGUGCCUUUUUGGGAAAUGGAGAGAGAGAGUGGGUGAGGAAUCUAAAUAUUUGUUGGAAUGUAUUACGGUGGACAGCUAAUUCAUGUACUUGCUCAUUCAUAAACAUAUGUAUUUAUUUAACUUUGGUUUGGGCAAACCUCCUAACAUUAAAAGGCACAAAGGAGGCUAGUCAAGUGGUCUCAGUCUUAGUGACUCUCUUGCUCACACAUGUUCAUCACACGUUUGCGAGCUGACCAACCCGAAAAAAAUCCAGUCAGUGAUGAUCUCAGUCAUGUAAGGUUAUAUGUAGAGUAGGGAUGUAACGUUAUGAAAAUGUAACCUCACGGUUAUUGUGAUCAACAUUUUUAAAUACCCAAAAUAUGCCCAUACUUCAGACUUCAUACUUAAGUCCUCUUAGAAGGUAGGGAUGGGCAACGAUCGAUCGUUGAAUAGAUCGUUAAUAGAGUCAUGUAGUAUAUCGAAUAAUGAAUGUGUUAUUUAUUGCACGGCUCUUCUCAAUGCUGUUGACCGCAUAUAAUGCGCAUAAUAAGCAUAUCAUGACCGCUGUCAAGGUAAGUAGAAUAUUUUUUUUCCUAUCAAAUCACACCGCAAGUAGUCCGGUAAACCAUCAACCCCAGCGUCCUCGGUUGCUAAGCGACUUCAACAUCUUUGGCAGACUAUUUCUCUGCUGAUCAACUCUACGAAUGCUGGUAACAAAUAAAUUGUAAAAAGACACACUGUGAAGUUAUUUUUUGUGUCUAGUUCAACGUCAUGCAGGCUGUGUUCAGUAAAAUAAAUAUAUAAAUAGCGAUCUGUUUUCGGCGCAUGUGGGCCUAUCUGCCUAAGCCCGUGUUGAAAUAAUUUUGAUGUUAAAUGUUGAUGGUGCAGUUGGUGAAAUAAACGGAUUGAUUUCCUACAAAUCAUAAAAGCCUCACCCUGUGUCAUUCUGUGUGCGUGCGUGCGUGCGUGGGGGGUUCUUGAUUGACCGAUUUUCGAAUAUUAUUCGAAUACUUGAAUAGAAUAUGAAUAGUAUUUUUGCCAGAAAUGCAAAUCCCAAUAAGAAGGCUGAUGGAUGUCUUGAGCGCUGUCGUCUCCUCCUUCCGCCAUGAUUCACACUGAAUCGAAACUUAAAAACAUCAUGUUGUAGGCUACACAGUGCGCCUGCGCGGCGACUUCAGGAGACUCGGAUGAAGCGCUGGGAAGGAUUUAAGCACACGGUUACCACACCGCGGGCAAGGUUAUCCACCACGAUAAUAAUUUUAUUUGAAAUGAUAACGGUCAUUUUUAUUAACAACAUUUUUAUCGCGGUUUACCGUUACACCGAUAACCGUUACAUCCCUAGUGUAGAGUCAUAGUCAGCAGGCCGCUGACUCCCUGUGGUGUGACGUUAACUGUGUCAAUGCUCGGAGCCCUAACCAAGCCUGAAGUAACCUCUGUAGCUCGGCCCAGACCCAUCAGUUCCCCAAGCGCCCCAGGAGUUCAGCUCCUGGUGCAUCCUCCAUCCCUAUCCCAUCACAAACACACUGCUGAUGAAAGUCUGCCCCAGUUCCCAGGACGCAGCACCUGUCCUGUCCCGGCGCAGAACAAGAAUUGGAACAAAUCUUUGUUCUGUAUUGAGGCGUAUUUGUAAGACAGCUAAGGAGCGGGGACUACCCAUGUGCCUAUUGCUAACUUCCCAGUGGGAUCCAAAAGUGUUAUUCCUGGUUGGAAUGCUAUGCCUGACUUGGUGAUGUCACAGAUAUAUCGUUUUAUAGGAAGGUGUAGUAUUUACGUAACAAAGUAAUGCAUUCAUUUCAUGCUAUAUGUUGUAAUAAGUUUUGUCUCCUUAUACGUCCCCAGACUAAAGAUCUCUUUCGAAAAGGCAUUCAGUGUGGUUGCGAAAAUGUGAUUGUUGUUUACAGUGAAGCCGGCAAAACAUACAAGUUGAGCUCAGCUAGCCUCAACGUGAUCCGAUGUGACCAGUCCACAUUAUAUGGUCAGAGCUUGUAACAGAAGGGUUAAAUGGGCCACUGUUCCCUUGAUGGCAGCACAGAACAUGGGCUUUUGACCCCUAUUGUCUGGUGGAGUGGGUGCUGUGGAGUUUGCCAGCGGUGCGUUGG
ensembl:lncRNA